rnacentral:rRNA from 1 species
AAGCUUGACCUUGCAAAAGCCUACGAUCGGGUCGACUGGUGUUUUUUGGAAGGGGUUCUCCAGAAGAUAGGAUUUGAUGAAAAGUGGAUUAAGUGGGUUAUGACUUGUGUUAGAUCGGUGAAAUUCUCCGUCCGGUGUAAUGGUGAGAUGCUCAAAUCAUUUACACCAUCCAGAGGACUCAGACAAGGUGACCCACUAAGCCCAUAAUUAUUCCUAUUUGUUGCUGAUACCUUGUCCUCCCUUCUGAGUUUUGAGGUGGAUUCAGGGAGCAUUACACCCAUAAAGAUCGAGCUUGGAUGCCUGGGGAUAUCCAACCUCCUAUUUGCUAAUGAUAGCCUGUUAUUUUUCAAGGCCUCUGGGGACCAAGCAUAG